rnacentral:tRNA from 1 species
GCGUCGGUGGUUUAGUGGUAAAAUCUGUCGUUGCCAAAAGAAUUCGACAGGCCCCGGGUUCGAUUCCCGGCCGACGCA